UCUGAGACAGUCACCAUGAAGCCAGCCACCAGGUCAGACAUGCUGAAUCUUUCCCGAGGCCAGAAGAAGGCAUGUGGUCCCCUGGGUGGAGCUGGAGUUAAAGGAAGCUGUGAGUCAUGUGAUGGAGGUGCUGUGAACCAAAUUCAAGUCCUCUGGGAGAGCAGGGAAGACUUUUAACGGCUGACCCAUCUCUCCAGCCCAAGAUUCCAUGUUGCUUUUCCAAUAUGGUUGAUAAGAGUGGCCUUAUGUCCAUUGUGGUUGCAUUAUGGGAAUGAAAACAUGAAAUCUCCAUGACAAAAUAAACUCAGCUCAUCUGUA